GCCAACUGGGAGUGGCAGUUGGGUCUUGUGACUAGCACUUCCUGCCUGCCGGGGGCGGGGGGGGGGGAAGACUGGAGAGGACUGGCUUCCGGGUGUCAGAGGAGAGUGGAGCUUGUUCAGCCCAGUCUGGAGUGGCAUGCUCUUCUUGGUUCAGCCCAAAGACACAGGCUUCUAAAGAACUUUUCAAGUUCUACCUUACCCCAGCUUCUAUUGAUGCCAAAAUGUAAAGGAAUCACACCACAGUUUCAAAUGGAAACAAGGAAAAUGCCAUGCAACCAUCAUCUGUGCAUAUACUCCCAUCAGUAAGAACCCUGUUGAAAUGAAAGAAAAUUUUUAGGAAGAACUGAAGACCUUCAUAAUCAGUGCACUGAAAAAGGACAAGUUUCUAAUUUGGAGUGACUUUAGCAUCAGAGUAGACACAAAUUAUCUGACAAAGCAGAGAUUCGCUGAGAGAAAUGGAGGUGGAAACCACAGCAAAGAUCACUUACUACUGAAGACUUAUGUGUUUCAUGGCCUUCUUAUCACCAACACUGUCUUCUGUUUACCUAAGCAUAAUAAAACUGUGAAUGCAUCCUUGCA
rnacentral:lncRNA from 1 species